rnacentral:tRNA from 1 species
UCCCUGGUGGUCCCGUGGCUAAGACUCUGCACUUCCAAUGCAGGAGGCCUGGGUUCAAUACCUGAUCAGGGAA